rnacentral:lncRNA from 1 species
UUGGUAGAUAUCAAGUCUGUAUUUUGUGUCUGUGACAUGUAUAGUGUAAAAAGGGAUAGAUAACUGCUAAAAAGGUGGUUCAGUAGGUAGAAUGGAUGAAUAGUCAAGAAAAAUAGUUAUCAUUUGUAGUAUAGGAGUUGGUAUCUUGGGAUAGUAUAAGGAGGAUGGGAGAGGAGAAGAAAAUGCCGGAUUGUGAGAGUAGUAAGCCGAGGGCCAGAUUGUGAUAGUCAUGAGCCGAGAGCCAUUGCUGUGAUAGUGUGAGCCGGGAUAAGCUUGGUGC